rnacentral:rRNA from 1 species
CCCGCAACGAGCGCAACCCUCGUGUUUAGUUGAUAACAGUUCGGCUGAUAACUCUAAACAGACUGCCUGGGUAACCAGGAGGAAGGUGAGGACGACGUCAAGUCAUCAUGGCCCUUAUGUCCAGGGCUACACACGUGCUACAAUGGGGUAUACAAAGAGCAGCGAUACGGUGACGUGGAGCAAAUCUCAAAAAUAUCUCCCAGUUCGGAUAGUAGUCUGCAACUCGACUACUUGAAGUUGGAAUCGCUAGUAAUCGUAGAUCAGCAAUGCUACGGUGAAUACGUUCCCGGGUCUUGUACUCACCGCCCGUCACACCAUGGGAGUUGAACUCAUUCGAAGCGGGGAUGCUAAAGUAGCUACCCUCCACAGUGGAUUUAGCGACUGGGGUGAAGUCGUAACAAGGUAACCUUAAA